AGCUCCAAUAGCGUAUAUUAAAGUUGCUGCAGUUAAAAAGCUCGUAGUUGCAUUUCCGAGGCAAGGGAUUAGUCCGACCUUUGGUGGGUAUUUAAUCCUCUUGCCUCGUCCUUGAGUGGUGCUUCUUGGUAUUAAGUUAUCGAGGAGAUAGCCGCUCAUCGUUUACUGUGAGAAAAUUAGAGUGUUCAAAGCAGGCUUAUGCCGUUGAAUAUAUUAGCAUGGAAUAAUAAGAUAGGACCUCGGUACUAUUUUGUUGGUUUGAGAACCAAGGUAAUGAUGAAUAGGGACAGUUGGGGGUAUUCGUAUUCAAUUGUCAGAGGUGAAAUUCUUAGAUUUACGGAAGACGAACUACUGCGAAAGCAUUUACCAAGGAUGUUUGCA
rnacentral:rRNA from 1 species